rnacentral:tRNA from 1 species
AGGGGCGUAGCUCAGGUGGCUAGAGCGCUUCCCUGACACGGAAGAGGUCAACAGUUCAAGUCUGUUCGUCCCUACCA